AUGGCGUCUUGUCCUCUUCCAAUCUUGGAGAGCGGCGACCCUCGUCUAGAACUGACGCUUCACAACAGCGUGAGAAACGUGUUUGUAACGCAGUCGGACGUGAGACAUGAACAGAAAGAAAAGGUCAAAUACAUCCCUGUCGUAAAAGAGUCUUCCAGCAGAGUUCUUGAGGCUGGAGUGAACACUCUGCAGAGAACCCUGCUUCUGAAGAAAAAGGCAGAAUUAGACCAAGUCGAUGAACAGCUCUCACGCAAGCGGGAUGAAUUCACGAGCCGUAUGGAGGAUUUAGCGAACAAAAGGUCUGAACUCAAGUUAAAACAACAACAGAAUAGAGAGACCGUGAUGAAGUUUGAGAAGUUUGUUGCGGACAAUGAAGCGAAAAGAAAUCGAGCUCUGAAGAAGUAUGAGGCUGCACAAGAGGAGAACAUUUCCAAACAGAGCGAGAUAGAAGAGCUGACAGAGGAGCUCAAACUUCUCAAAAUCAGGCAACAAGUUUUAAAGGAGAAAAUAGGAAAAUACAAAAUCUACGAAGACUACCUGCUGAAAACUCUCGAUUACUUCCCCAGCUCAUACCUUGAUCAUGGCUCUCAGCCCUCUGUGAUGUCCAUCAUUCGCCGCCACGAGGCCCUGUCGGUCACAAACCGGGAGCUACGCAAGCGUUUGGGACAUGCGGAGGAGGAGGUGCAACAAGGCAGCCAACAGCUGCAGAGCAUGAAAAGGGAACACAAUGUGAAAAAACUGAUGGGCAUUAAAGAACUGUCUGAGCUCCAGAGUGAGUUAGACUCCCUGAAAGAGGAGAACAAGCAGAUGGAGGAUAAAUUACUGAUGCAGCAUGGCCUGUCCAGGGACAAGGUGGAGGAGGUUGGCAGGUUGCUCAUGGGCAUCAAUAAUCUUGCAGAGCAGUGUUACCUCACCGCACAUGGACCUCUGCAAAAUAUGACCGUGCUCUCCAUGAUGGACAUGGUGAAGGAGUACGUGACAGACAAAUCAGAGACAGAGAAGAGAGCAAGGAGGCUGAUGGAGCUGGAGUCUGCGGAGACCAGCCGGACAGCUCCAACAGAGAAGAAGAGGGAGUCCAUAAAAAACAACAGUAACAAACAAAUCAGAAGCUAAGCUCGUCAAGAAUGAAGUCAUGAGCUAAUGUAGCUAUUUACUGUUAUUAACCUGGUGAUUCAGGCUUUGACCUGUGAAAAAUAGAAUUUUCUACAAAUAGGAAACCAGACUUUUUUCUUUCUUUGUCUUUCCAAGCUUUGGCACUUUUAUUUAUAAGUAACCAAACCUUGCAGUUGUCUGUGGUGUUGCUCAUGGUUACAGGUGAAUAAAUCAGUCUGUACAUGAAGAAUAUGACCACGACUUGAUGGUGUAAAUGUAGAUUCUUGGUUUCACAUGAUAGAAAUGAAAAAGUGUGGCAUGGACAAAGUAAAUUUUAGUUUAUAGAACACUAUUUUUUAAUAUUUAGCCGGUCAAAGGCUGCAUUUUUUUAUACUUUCACUAUUGUCAGAUGACAUAAAAUGAUGGGUGAUUAGUAAGUGUAUCCAGGAUUGAUUUAUUUAUCUUUACGUUUUGCCAUAGCAUAGCUCAAACAGUAUAAAGAAAACUAUGAAGUAAUUGAGAAUGUGACGAUAUAUUUUCAGUCCUCCUCUUCAUCCUCCUCUUUCACAUUAGGGUUGAGCUCCAACGUUAGACCGGUGAGUUUCUGUAGGGCCUUUAGGCUGACUGGGCUGAUGUAGCACUGCACUUCCUGUUAUGACACAUGUUUCCGCAGGACUUCCAGCUUCUGUGAGGCCAUUUUGAAAUGAACCUGCUGACAGUAGCGAUCCACCAGAAAGCCAUAUACAUCUGUAAUCCUCCACAUUUGGUUCCUCCAGCAGGGCUUCACACAUCCUGAUGGCCUCCCAGGAAUCUUCCUCAUAUAAACCCCGUGCCUUUAUGCACGUCUUGAUGAGCGCGAUCUUAUGCUGCAGGUCACAAAGUCUUGCUUUUUGUUUGCCUGCCGGCGAGUCCUUUGAUUUUGAGACACACUCAAAGGCCCCAGUUAAAGCAUGAAGCGCCUUCUCAUAGAAAAUCAUUGAUCUCCACCUGAGCACAGACUUCAAAGAAAUCAGCCAGCUGCUCUGACGCUCUGCCUUUCGUGUAAAAAGUAAUGAUUGUUUUAAAGAUCUCAGGAUUUUCCCUCCAGUCUCUGGACUGGAGGUAGUUGGCUGCCAUGAUAAAGAGUUCCCUCUGACAAGAGAAACUAGCAUAGUACUAUUUUCUCUGUAUCUCCAGACUUAAGGAGCACACUCAUGGCCUUGAGCUUGUUGCCCGCCUGUGUGUACCUCUUUGCUGCCGGACGAUAAUUGCCCUGACGCACGUAGCACUCGGCUAUGCGCUGCAGCAGCUCCUUCCGAGCCUCUAUCGAGUCAGUUGCAGUCAGCUUCUCUGCCAGUUCCUCUGUCACGGUCAAUUUCUGAGAAAUGCACGACUCCAAGGCUUGAUGAUACUUUUUGGCCGCUACCAGCAACUCGUCAUACUGGGAUUGUGUGAUGAAGAAGUCACAGUAGCGUUUGAGAAGGGCUGGGUCCUUCAGAUCCUCCACAAUCAGCUGAAUUGCAGGGAAUUGUUGUGUGGAACCUGCUAACUCUAAAGCCUUGGAGACGCAGCCAGCCUUGUGGUAGAGUGCAACAGUUCAGACACCUUUCUCCUUAUAGUAGUGCGCAGCCUCCAUCAUGUCCUUGGGGUUGCUGAGCAGAGCCAGGUUCAAUAGUUGCUCUGGUGUGAAGCUGCAGAUAUUGUAUUGUCGGGUAAACAAGGAUCUCUUUCAGCAGGUUUGCAGCUGAAAUAAUAGUAGGGCACAUCUAUAGGGACCAACGUCUUCAGGCCUGAAGGCUCCAGGAAGCGGUCCUGCAGGAGGAUCCCGUGCUCUUGAGCACAGAAGUGUCACUACUGAUACAUCUUUCAUAUCCAAAAGGCAUUUUGUUGAGGAUUCAAAGCAGAUUGGCACCGUUUCACAAACGAAAAGUCGAGGGUCUUUCUCAUCCCAAAAUUGCGAUAUUGGGCAGCGCCGACUAUAAUUCAUCUUCUCACAGUGCUGCUUUUUGCUUUCUUCUGAUUGCGACAUACCCUCAGACCGCAGAAGAAGACAAAAUGUGUCAAGGUGUCCAUCUCAACAUCAUAAAAGUAGACCUUAGAAUCAGGCCGUCCAUUAACUAGAGAGAUUAAGAUGCUGACUUGGCUGCCAUUGGAAUUACAUUUGACUGAACUUAAAGCUCCCAGUCUGGGAAUUAGUUGAGUCAGAUCCUUUGCACGGCAUUGAGCUCUGGCUUUCCUUCAGGAAAGGUCCAACAAACAGACGUGUGCGGUGUCUGUGCCUAUUGCAAGGUACAGGAUUACCUUCUGCUUUGGAAAAGGCCAGCAGCUGCUUCACUGUGCCCUGUUGUGUGCGUCUCUGGACCCUGUUAGCUUCCACCGUGUAGAGGUUCUCACCGUAUACACCUACAAUUUUAGAGUCACAAGGAAAGGACCCUUUAAUGUUAAAAGUGGUUCCUGACAACUCAUAUACAGCGACUUGCUUGCCACUCCAGACUGUCACAGAAUCCUUGCCGACACACACUCCCUCGAUGUGUAUGUCAGACAGCAGUGCCAGGUGUGCUCCUGUGGAGAACUGAGUGAUGCUGAGCUGGCUUGAGCUAAGCUGCACUGCUGCCAUCUGCUGACUGUAGCCAGCCGACAUGUGACGCUCUCUCGGGAUGAGUGUAGCAUUUGGAAAAAGCUGAUUUAGAAUCCUUCCAUUUACCUCACAGUCAUUUUGGGGGGGGAUGCUUGGUUUUUGUCUUUCCCUCUCCUGAUGCUCCACUGAUCGCGCUUACUUUGACAUGGCACCUACAAUGUGCAGUUUGGUAUGCUUCCAUGUCUUCGAUGAACUUUUAAAGUCUUUAAUAUGUUUUAGUAGAAAACACAACUGGAUGUAAUAAAUGUAACUAGAUAUCAAAGUCUUUGCUGGAGACUAUAGUGACGUCAGUGUGGCAGUGGUAUUCAAUAGACCGUAGAUGAAAGGCUAGCUUGUAUGAUAAAAGGCUUUCAUGUUUGAGGGUUAUCUUCAAUUCCUUUGGAUGUGUCCUUUGCUCUUAGCUUAGUUUCACCUUGAUGAUGCUAUUCAACAUAACAACAUAGGGACGAACAAAUGUGGAUUUAAACACGACUGUGUCAAACGUACCUUUCGACCCAUCUAGCCACUUGAGUACCAACAUAAAGCUAGCUAUCAACCGGUAUCGGAUUUUUUAAUAUGUUCAAACUGUAUGUUUAUGAAUAGAGAAAGUGUCUGCUGAAGAG
rnacentral:lncRNA from 1 species